rnacentral:rRNA from 1 species
AGAGACAGCAGUCGCCGCGGGAAUACGGAGGGGGCUAGCGUUGUUCGGAAUUACUGGGCGUAAAGCGCACGUAGGCGGCUUGGUAAGUUAGAGGUGAAAGCCCGGAGCUCAACUCCGGAAUUGCCUUUAAGACUGCCGAGCUAGCAGGUGAGAGAGGUAAGUGGAAUUCCGAGUGUAGAGGUGAAAUUCGUAGAUAUUCGGAAGAACACCAGUGGCGAAGGCGGCUUACUGGCUCAUACUGGACGCUGAGGUGCGAAAGCGUGGGGAGCAAACAGGAUUAGAUACCCCUGUAGUCCCUGUCUCUUAUAC